CAGCAGCCACGGUAAUACGUAGGUGGCAAGCGUUGUCCGGAAUUAUUGGGCGUAAAGGGCUCGCAGGCGGUUUCUUAAGUCUGAUGUGAAAGCCCCCGGCUCAACCGGGGAGGGUCAUUGGAAACUGGGAAACUUGAGUGCAGAAGAGGAGAGUGGAAUUCCACGUGUAGCGGUGAAAUGCGUAGAGAUGUGGAGGAACACCAGUGGCGAAGGCGACUCUCUGGUCUGUAACUGACGCUGAGGAGCGAAAGCGUGGGGAGCGAACAGGAUUAGAUACCCCGGUAGUCCCUGUCUCUUAUAA
rnacentral:rRNA from 1 species